rnacentral:tRNA from 1 species
UGGGAUGUGGUAUAGUGCUAAAACACAUGCCUAACAUGAACAAGACCCUGGGUUCAAUUCCCAGCAUCACAG